rnacentral:rRNA from 1 species
AUUGAACGCUGGCGGCAGGCCUAACACAUGCAAGUCGAGCGGAUGACGGGAGCUUGCUCCUUGAUUCAGCGGCGGACGGGUGAGUAAUGCCUAGGAAUCUGCCUGGUAGUGGGGGACAACGUUUCGAAAGGAACGCUAAUACCGCAUACGUCCUACGGGAGAAAGCAGGGGACCUUCGGGCCUUGCGCUAUCAGAUGAGCCUAGGUCGGAUUAGCUAGUAGGUGAGGUAAUGGCUCACCUAGGCGACGAUCCGUAACUGGUCUGAGAGGAUGAUCAGCCACGCUGGAAAUGAGACACGGUCCACACUCCUACCGGAGGCAGCAGUGGGGAAUAUUGGACAAUGGGCGAAAGCCUGAUCCAGCCAUGCCGCGUGUGUGAAGAAGAUCUUCGGAUUGUAGAGCACUUUAAGGUGGGGGAAAGGGUUGUAGAUUAAUACUCUGCAAUUUUGACGUUGCCCACAGAAUAAGCACCGGCUAACUCUGUGCUAGCAGCCGCAGUAACAC